GGUGUUCAAACCCCAUUCUACCCACAACUCCUGGGGUGGGUGAACCCCCAACCCCCAGACAGGUGGGACCUUAGGAGUCAACAGACAGAGGCUGCUCGACACAUCUCCUCGUCCGGUGGACUAUUUCUCUGCGGUGUGGGCACCGUGAGGUCCGUCCCCAGAUUAAUGGAGCCAGAUGGAUGGAGCCAGAGCUGCACUGCCAUGCGAAAGGGAAGCUCUGAGUUCACUGGUUUGUCUCAAUGACUGAUGGGAGAGGCUCAUUGGCUGCUCAAGGCAUCUUCAUGAUCUCAAGCCCCACUGUCAAGCAGAGAGAGCACCAGUCGCCUUUUCAGAUCUGGGGGGGUAAGGGAGACCCCUGUCCCCAAAGAGACAUGGAACCAUUCUGCCACUCCAUUGGAAAGAGUUUUUCAUGUAGGUGUGUGCAUUCACAUGAACGGUGGGGUUAAGUUUGGAGGGGAGAAGGGUUAGGUGGGGGCUGCCGCUCUGUGUUCAGAGGCCUAUUCUGGAAAAGAGAGGUUGGGGUUUUCUGCAGGUUGCUGCCUUCAUUUGAUGCAACUGUGGGACUGAGAAGAUGCAGGGCCAUGAAUUCUAUGGAUGGGUCAUACCUUCCUGCAUCUACAGUCCCGUUAUCAAGGUCACCCUUCAAACCCUUAGCCCCCUGAGAAGGGACUGGCCUAAGCCUGCUGGUGGUGGCUUCUGGGGAGGUUGGUCUAGUGUCGGGAGUAAGAUAAGGGUAGCAUCAAAAGGUCCACGCCUUCUUCCCUGAGAAGCAGAGCUGUACAACUUCCCAUCCAAGACCAAAUCAGCAGAGAUGUGGGUGGGGAGGGUUAGACCAGGGCUUUGUACUAGAAAUUGACUUGUACAGUUGUGCUGGACCUCCAGUCUUUGAAGAAUGAGCCCCUCCUGGACUAACAGAGCUGGGAUUCUGAG